rnacentral:rRNA from 1 species
UACGAAGGGGGCUAGCGUUGCUCGGAAUCACUGGGCGUAAAGGGUGCGUAGGCGGGUCUUUAAGUCAGGGGUGAAAUCCUGGAGCUCAACUCCAGAACUGCCUUUGAUACUGAAGAUCUUGAGUUCGGGAGAGGUGAGUGGAACUGCGAGUGUAGAGGUGAAAUUCGUAGAUAUUCGCAAGAACACCAGUGGCGAAGGCGGCUCACUGGCCCGAUACUAACGCUGAGGUGCGAAAGCGUGGGGAGCAAACAGG